AGUGAACGCUGGCGGUAGGCCUAACACAUGCAAGUCGAACGGCAGCACAGUAAGAGCUUGCUCUUACGGGUUGCGAGUGGCGGACGGGUGAGGAAUACAUCGGAAUCUACUUUUUCGUGGGGGAUAACGUAGGGAAACUUACGCUAAUACCGCAUACGACCUACGGUUGAAAGCAGGGGAUCUUCGGACCUUGCGCGAUUGAAUGCGCCGAUGUCGGAUUAGCUAGUUGGCGGGGUAAAGGCCCACCAAGUCGACGAUCCGUAGCUGGUCUGAGAGGAUGAUAGGCCACACUGGAACUGAGACACGGUCCAGACUCCUAAGGGAGGCAGCAGUGGGGAAUAUUGGACAAUGGGCGCAAGCAUGAUCCAGCCAGACCGCGUGGGUGAAGAAGGCGUUCGGGUUGUAAAGACCUUUUGUUGGGAAAGAAAAGCAGCAGGUUAAUACCCAGCUGUUCUGACGGUACCCAAAGAAUAAGCACCGGCUAACUUCGUG
rnacentral:rRNA from 1 species